UGGGGAAUUUUGGACAAUGGGCGAAAGCCUGAUCCAGCAAUGCCGCGUGUGUGAAGAAGGCCUUCGGGUUGUAAAGCACUUUUGUCCGGAAAGAAAUCCUUGGCUCUAAUACAGUCGGGGGAUGACGGUACCGGAAGAAUAAGUACCGGCUAACUACGUGCCAGCAGCCGCGGUAAUACGUAGGGUGCAAGCGUUAAUCGGAAUUACUGGGCGUAAAGCGUGCGCAGGCGGUUUGCUAAGACCGAUGUGAAAUCCCCGGGCUCAACCUGGGAACUGCAUUGGUGACUGGCAGGCUAGAGUAUGGCAGAGGGGGGUAGAAUUCCACGUGUAGCAGUGAAAUGCGUAGAGAUGUGGAGGAAUACCGAUGGCGAAGGCAGCCCCCUGGGCCAAUACUGACGCUCAUGCACGAAAGCGUGGGGAGCAAACAGGAUUAGAUACCCUGGUAGUCCACGCCCUAAACGAUGUCAACUAGUUGUUGGGGAUUCAUUUCCUUAGUAACGUAGCUAACGCGUGAAGUUGACCGCCUGGGGAGUACGGUCGCAAGAUUAAAAGCUUAAAGUGAA
rnacentral:rRNA from 1 species